rnacentral:rRNA from 1 species
AUUGAACGCUGGCGGUAUGCUUAACACAUGCAAGUCGAACGGUAACAGGAGAUAGUUUACUAUUUUGCUGACGAGUGGCGGACGGGUGAGUAAUGCAUGGGAAUUUACCUAUUAGUGGGGGACAACGUGUGGAAACGCACGCUAAUACCGCAUACGCUCUACGGAGGAAAGCAGGGGAUCUUCGGACCUUGCGCUAAUAGAUGAGCCCAUGUCGGAUUAGCUAGUUGGUAAGGUAAAGGCUUACCAAGGCGACGAUCCGUAGCUGGUUUGAGAGGAUGAUCAGCCACACUGGGACUGAGACACGGCCCAGACUCCUACGGGAGGCAGCAGUGGGGAAUAUUGCACAAUGGAGGAAACUCUGAUGCAGCAACGCCGCGUGGAGGAUGACACAUUUCGGUGCGUAAACUCCUUUUAUAUGGGAAGAUAAUGACGGUACCAUAUGAAUAAGCACCGGCUAACUCCGUGCCAGCAGCCGCGGUAAUACGGAGGGUGCAAGCGUUACUCGGAAUCACUGGGCGUAAAGCGCGCGCAGGCGGCUAUUUAAGUUGGAUGUGAAAGCCUACGGCUCAACCGUAGAACUGCAUCCAAAACUAUUUAGCUAGAGUGUGGGAGAGGAAGAUGGAAUUAGUUGUGUAGGGGUAAAAUCCGUAGAGAUAACUAGGAAUACCAAAAGCGAAGGCAAUCUUCUGGAACACUACUGACGCUGAGGCGCGAAGGCGUGGGGAGCAAACAGGAUUAGAUACCCUGGUAGUCCACGCAGUAAACGAUGAAUGUUAGUCGUCGGGGGCCUAGUGUCUUCGGUGAUGCAGCUAACGCAUUAAACAUUCCGCCUGGGGAGUACGGUCGCAAGAUUAAAACUCAAAGGAAUAGACGGGGACCCGCACAAGUGGUGGAGCAUGUGGUUUAAUUCGAAGAUACGCGAAGAACCUUACCUAGCCUUGACAUAUAUUAGAACUCCGCAGAGAUGCAGUGGUGCCUUCGGGAGCUUUUAUACAGGUGCUGCACGGCUGUCGUCAGCUCGUGUCGUGAGAUGUUGGGUUAAGUCCCGCAACGAGCGCAACCCUCGUCACUAGUUACUAACGGUUCGGCCGAGGACUCUAGUGAGACUGCCUUCGUAAGGAGGAGGAAGGUGAGGACGACGUCAAGUCAUCAUGGCCCUUACGGCUAGGGCAACACACGUGCUACAAUGGUUGGGACAGUGAGACGCGAUACCGUGAGGUGGAGCAAAUCUAUAAACCCAAUCUCAGUUCGGAUUGUAGUCUGCAACUCGACUACAUGAAGCUGGAAUCACUAGUAAUCGUAGAUCAGCUAUGCUACGGUGAAUACGUUCCCGGGUCUUGUACUCACCGCCCGUCACACCAUGGGAGUUGAUUUCACCCGAAGCGGGGAAGCUAAACUGGCUACCCUCCACGGUGGAAUUAGCGACUGGGGUG